AGGAUAAACGCUGGCGGCGUGCCUAAAACAUGCAAGUCGAACGGACCCUUCGGGGUUAGUGGCGAACGGCUGAGUAACACGUGGGUGACCUGCCUUCGAACGGGGGAUAACUGCCCGAAAGGGUAGCUAAUACCGCAGAUGUCAUUGAUUCGUUUUGGUGACUGAACUUCCGGGGUUCGAAGAGGGGCCUGCGUCCGAUUAGCUAGCUGGUGGGGUAACGGCCUACCAGGGCGACGAUCGGUAGCUGGUCUGAGAGGAUGAUCAGCCAGACUGGGACUGCGAGACGGCCCAGACUCCUACGGGAGGCAGCAGUUAGGAAUUUUUGGCAAUGGGCGAAAGCCUGACCCAGCAACGCCGCGUGGGCGAAGAAGGCCUUCGGGUCGUAAACGGCCCUUUUACCGAGGGGGAAGAUAAGUGAACGGUACCCUAGGGAAUCAGCCCCGGCUAACUACGUGCCAGCAGCCGC
rnacentral:rRNA from 1 species